CUCUCUUCCCACUACAAAUCACAAUUGAUAGAAACAGUUCUAAGAACAAACACACACACCAGGGUUUCAGUUAGGAAAAUGUGGUGCCGGACAACCUGACAGGCAAAACAUGUACCGGUAUUUACCAGACAUCCUAAUGCGUUGUCUGUGUGACGCAUUAGAGCGUCCACCCAAUUCAUCUUAACAGAAUAGAAAUGAGCCUGUAAAGUUGUAAAAAAUAUAUAACAAUGUUCUUAUACCAAAAUGACAGGUUUUAUUGAAAAGCAAAACAUUUCCUGUUGCAUCUUUACCCCUUCUAGAAAUCAGAAAUUAAUAUAGAUUUUUUUAAGACGAAAAUUACAUUUAGCCUAGAACAAGUCACCUACACAGCAAUAAAACUUAAAUAGAAUCAUUUGUGAACGACCUGUCCUAUAGGCUAUUUGUAUGAACAUGUUUAUUAAUAAAGAAAAAAAACUGCUGUUUUCAAAUACAAUCUAGGCCUCUCUAAUCGAACUUUAAAUUUGAAAUAGGCCUAAUAAAUAACAACUGGGGAGAGGUGUUGGAGGAACACCAGGGUCUGCCCCACUCCCACUGCCAUUCAGCACCACAGCAGGGGAAAGAGGCCUAAUAAAUAACUACUGGGGAGAGGUGUUGGAGGAACACCAGGGUCUGGCCCACUCCCACUGCCAUUCAGCACCACAGCAGGGGAAAGAGGCCUAAUAAAUAACUACUGGGGAGAGGUGUUGGAGGAACACCAGGGUCUGGCCCACUCCCACUGCCAUUCAGCACCACAGCAGGGGAAAGAGGCCUAAUAAAUAACUACUGGGGAGAGGUGUUGGAGGAACACCAGGGUCUGCCCCACUCCCACUGCCAUUCAGCACCACAGCAGGGGAAAGAGGCCUAAUAAAUAACUACUGGGGAGAGGUGUUGGAGGAACACCAGGGUCUGGCCCACUCCCACUGCCAUUCAGCACCACAGCAGGGGAAAGAGGCCUAAUAAAUAACAACUGGGGAGAGGUGUUGGAGGAACACCAGGGUCUGGCCCACUCCCACUGCCAUUCAGCACCACAGCAGGGGAAAGAGGCCUAAUAAAUAACUACUGGGGAGAGGUGUUGGAGGAACACCAGGGUCUGGCCCACUCCCACUGCCAUUCAGCACCACAGCAGGGGAAAGAGGCCUAAUAAAUAACUACUGGGGAGAGGUGUUGGAGGAACACCAGGGUCUGCCCCACUCCCACUGCCAUUCAGCACCACAGCAAGGGAAAGAGGCCUAAUAAAUAACUACUGGGGAGAGGUGUUGGAGGAACACCAGGGUCUGCCCCACUCCCACUGCCAUUCAGCACCACAGCAGGGGAAAGAGGCCUAAUAAAUAACUACUGGGGAGAGGUGUUGGAGGAACACCAGGGUCUGCCCCACUCCCACUGCCAUUCAGCACCACAGCAGGGGAAAGAGGCCUAAUAAAUAACAACUGGGGAGAGGUGUUGGAGGAACACCAGGGUCUGGCCCACUCCCACUGCCAUUCAGCACCACAGCAGGGGAAAGAGGCCUAAUAAAUAACUACUGGGGAGAGGUGUUGGAGGAACACCAGGGUCUGCCCCACUCCCACUGCCAUUCAGCACCACAGCAGGGGAAAGAGGCCUAAUAAAUAACAACUGGGGAGAGGUGUUGGAGGAACACCAGGGUCUGGCCCACUCCCACUGCCAUUCAGCACCACAGCAGGGGAAAGAGGCCUAAUAAAUAACAACUGGGGAGAGGUGUUGGAGGAACACCAGGGUCUGGCCCACUCCCACUGCCAUUCAGCACCACAGCAGGGGAAAGAGGCCUAAUAAAUAACAACUGGGGAGAGGUGUUGGAGGAACACCAGGGUCUGGCCCACUCCCACUGCCAUUCAGCACCACAGCAGGGGAAAGAGGCCUAAUAAAUAACUACUGGGGAGAGGUGUUGGAGGAACACCAGGGUCUGGCCCACUCCCACUGCCAUUCAGCACCACAGCAGGGGAAAGAGGCCUAAUAAAUAACUACUGGGGAGAGGUGUUGGAGGAACACCAGGGUCUGCCCCACUCCCACUGCCAUUCAGCACCACAGCAGGGGAAAGAGGCCUAAUAAAUAACAACUGGGGAGAGGUGUUGGAGGAACACCAGGGUCUGGCCCACUCCCACUGCCAUUCAGCACCACAGCAGGGGAAAGAGGCCUAAUAAAUAACUACUGGGGAGAGGUGUUGGAGGAACACCAGGGUCUGGCCCACUCCCACUGCCAUUCAGCACCACAGCAGGGGAAAGAGGCCUAAUAAAUAACUACUGGGGAGAGGUGUUGGAGGAACACCAGGGUCUGGCCCACUCCCACUGCCAUUCAGCACCACAGCAGGGGAAAGAGGCCUAAUAAAUAACUACUGGGGAGAGGUGUUGGAGGAACACCAGGGUCUGGCCCACUCCCACUGCCAUUCAGCACCACAGCAGGGGAAAGAGGCCUAAUAAAUAACAACUGGGGAGAGGUGUUGGAGGAACACCAGGGUCUGGCCCACUCCCACUGCCAUUCAGCACCACAGCAGGGGAAAGAGGCCUAAUAAAUAACUACUGGGGAGAGGUGUUGGAGGAACACCAGGGUCUGGCCCACUCCCACUGCCAUUCAGCACCACAGCAGGGGAAAGAGGCCUAAUAAAUAACUACUGGGGAGAGGUGUUGGAGGAACACCAGGGUCUGGCCCACUCCCACUGCCAUUCAGCACCACAGCAGGGGAAAGAGGCCUAAUAAAUAACUACUGGGGAGAGGUGUUGGAGGAACACCAGGGUCUGGCCCACUCCCACUGCCAUGCAGCACCACAGCAGGAGAAAGAGGCCUAAUAAAUAACAACUGGGGAGAGGUGUUGGAGGAACACCAGGGUCUGGCCCACUCCCACUGCCAUUCAGCACCACAGCAGGGGAAAGAGGCCUAAUAAAUAACUACUGGGGAGAGGUGUUGGAGGAACACCAGGGUCUGGCCCACUCCCACUGCCAUUCAGCACCACAGCAGGGGAAAGAGGCCUAAUAAAUAACUACUGGGGAGAGGUGUUGGAGGAACACCAGGGUCUGGCCCACUCCCACUGCCAUUCAGCACCACAGCAGGGGAAAGAGGCCUAAUAAAUAACUACUGGGGAGAGGUGUUGGAGGAACACCAGGGUCUGGCCCACUCCCACUGCCAUUCAGCACCACAGCAGGGGAAAGAGGCCUAAUAAAUAACAACUGGGGAGAGGUGUUGGAGGAACACCAGGGUCUGGCCCACUCCCACUGCCAUUCAGCACCACAGCAGGGGAAAGAGGCCUAAUAAAUAACUACUGGGGAGAGGUGUUGGAGGAACACCAGGGUCUGCCCCACUCCCACUGCCAUUCAGCACCACAGCAGGGGAAAGAGGCCUAAUAAAUAACAACUGGGGAGAGGUGUUGGAGGAACACCAGGGUCUGGCCCACUCCCACUGCCAUGCAGCACCACAGCAGGAGAAAGAGGCCUAAUAAAUAACUACUGGGGAGAGGUGUUGGAGGAACACCAGGGUCUGGCCCACUCCCACUGCCAUUCAGCACCACAGCAGGAGAAAGAGGCCUAAUAAAUAACAACUGGGGAGAGGUGUUGGAGGAACACCAGGGUCUGGCCCACUCCCACUGCCAUUCAGCACCACAGCAGGGGAAAGAGGCCUAAUAAAUAACUACUGGGGAGAGGUGUUGGAGGAACACCAGGGUCUGCCCCACUCCCACUGCCAUUCAGCACCACAGCAGGGGAAAGAGGCCUAAUAAAUAACUACUGGGGAGAGGUGUUGGAGGAACACCAGGGUCUGCCCCACUCCCACUGCCAUUCAGCACCACAGCAGGGGAAAGAGGCCUAAUAAAUAACUACUGGGGAGAGGUGUUGGAGGAACACCAGGGUCUGGCCCACUCCCACUGCCAUUCAGCACCACAGCAGGAGAAAGAGGCCUAGUAAAUAACAACUGGGGAGAGGUGUUGGAGGAACACCAGGGCCGGUCUGCCCCACUCCCACUGCCAUUCAGCACCACAGCAGGAGAAAGAGGCCUAAUAAAUAACAACUGGGGAGAGGUGUUGGAGGAACACCAGGGUCUGCCCCACUCCCACUGCCAUUCAGCACCACAGCAGGGGAAAGAGGCCUAAUAAAUAACUACUGGGGAGAGGUGUUGGAGGAACACCAGGGUCUGGCCCACUCCCACUGCCAUUCAGCACCACAGCAGGGGAAAGAGGCCUAAUAAAUAACUACUGGGGAGAGGUGUUGGAGGAACACCAGGGUCUGGCCCACUCCCACUGCCAUUCAGCACCACAGCAGGGGAAAGAGGCCUAAUAAAUAACUACUGGGGAGAGGUGUUGGAGGAACACCAGGGUCUGGCCCACUCCCACUGCCAUUCAGCACCACAGCAGGAGAAAGAGGCCUAAUAAAUAACUACUGGGGAGAGGUGUUGGAGGAACACCAGGGUCUGGCCCACUCCCACUGCCAUUCAGCACCACAGCAGGAGAAAGAGGCCUAAUAAAUAACUACUGGGGAGAGGUGUUGGAGGAACACCAGGGUCUGGCCCACUCCCACUGCCAUUCAGCACCACAGCAGGGGAAAGAGGCCUAAUAAAUAACUACUGGGGAGAGGUGUUGGAGGAACACCAGGGUCUGGCCCACUCCCACUGCCAUUCAGCACCACAGCAGGGGAAAGAGGCCUAAUAAAUAACAACUGGGGAGAGGUGUUGGAGGAACACCAGGGUCUGGCCCACUCCCACUGCCAUUCAGCACCACAGCAGGGGAAAGAGGCCUAAUAAAUAACUACUGGGGAGAGGUGUUGGAGGAACACCAGGGUCUGGCCCACUCCCACUGCCAUUCAGCACCACAGCAGGGGAAAGAGGCCUAAUAAAUAACAACUGGGGAGAGGUGUUGGAGGAACACCAGGGUCUGCCCCACUCCCACUGCCAUUCAGCACCACAGCAGGGGAAAGAGGCCACAAAAUAAAACAAUUAUCAACCUGAUAUUGGAUAAGUAAAUAAAUACAUUAAGGCUGGUUCAUAGAUAGAAAUCUUAUUUUACAAUGCUCCAGUGAAGCGAGGCCCACGCCAUGCAUUUAUGAAAGUGCUUGUUUCCAGAGAUUAAAUUAUAUCUCUCUACAGUUUUACUGGAUGAUAAUAAAUGAUGUUUAUUAUAAUUGGACCUAUCUUGGGGACGUGACUCACGUCAUGUGUGAUAUACGUGGCUUAUUGAUAACUACUCUGUUUCCUACUAUAGACAGUUGGCUGCCUAGUGAUUGAAACAUUUUAACUGAUGUGAAUAGUUGGCACACACCCUACACCAAUGUCCCAGAGGAUUUAUUAUGAAGUAUAUUUGUUUGCCUUAGAAGUUGGAGAAUAUGCAUUUUUUCACAAUGGAUGUUUUUUGUGUGUUUUUUUACAAUUUGGCCAGUAACAAUUUUAUUUAUCCGCUUUUCUUAUUUUACCAAAUGUCGGAAUUUACCGUCUAACGGAAACCCUGACACGCA